CUAGUUGGUAAGGUAACGGCUUACCAAGGCUACGAUGGGUAGGGGUCCUGAGAGGGAGAUCCCCCACACUGGUACUGAGACACGGACCAGACUCCUACGGGAGGCAGCAGUGAGGAAUAUUGGACAAUGGGCGCAAGCCUGAUCCAGCCAUGCCGCGUGCAGGAUGACGGUCCUAUGGAUUGUAAACUGCUUUUAUACGAGAAGAAACACUACUUCGUGAAGUAGCUUGACGGUAUCGUAAGAAUAAGGAUCGGCUAACUCCGUGCCAGCAGCCGCGGUAAUACGGAGGAUCCAAGCGUUAUCCGGAAUCAUUGGGUUUAAAGGGUCCGUAGGCGGUUUAAUAAGUCAGUGGUGAAAGCCCAUCGCUCAACGGUGGAACGGCCAUUGAUACUGUUAAACUUGAAUUAUUAGGAAGUAACUAGAAUAUGUAGUGUAGCGGUGAAAUGCUUAGAGAUUACAUGGAAUACCAAUUGCGAAGGCAGGUUACUACUAAUUGAUUGACGCUGAUGGACGAAAGCGUGGGUAGCGAACAGGAUUAGAUACCCUGGUAGUCCACGCCGUAAACGAUGGAUACUAGCUGUUGGGAGCAAUCUCAGUGGCUAAGCGAAAGUGAUAAGUAUCCCACCUGGGGAGUACGUUCGCAAGAAUGAAACUCAAAGGAAUUGACG
rnacentral:rRNA from 1 species